rnacentral:lncRNA from 1 species
GCAGAAAAGGAAAAGAUCUUCGCUUGGCUUCUCAUAUAUUGGUGCGCAAAAGAAGAGGGUGUUGGAGGAAGGUAGUAAUGGUGUUCAAAGAAUAAUAAUUCGGCUUCCUUCGCCUGCCUCUGAAAAGGUAGAUGCAUUUGAUUCCCCAAAUAAUAUGCUGGGUGAAAGAUGUACGCCUUCUUCCUUUAAUAGAAUUGAUGAUACCCUGAGUUGUGCCUCCUCUGUUGGUAGUUGUAGUGGUUUAGGGACUUACGG